GAAAGCAUUUAUGUAUUUAUAACACUUCAAUUGCAGGGUAUCUACCAUGUGGGCAGUGCUGUUAUAAAAUGAUGGAUUUUCCAGAAUUACUCUAAAUGAGAAAUUCAGCGCUGACCCACGUGGACAGGAACAGAAUAACAGCAGGAAGAGUCCAGCCAGUGGUGGCACCAAGGGAUGAACCUCAAACUCCAGAGCUCCUCAGCCUGGGAGGGGGCCAACAGGUGGGACAGAGACUGGGCACAGGAAUCAUCCCUUCCUUGUGACGUAACUGCCCGGGGACGUGAGCAAGCUCCAGACUGAAAAGUGACACAAGCUGUUCUCACAAUUCACACUCAACUUUGAAAUUCUCAGGAUGUUGUCUGUUAAAAUUCAGAAGACUGCUGAAAGAUUGGUUCAUCAGGGAACAUUAAACAGAAAAACAGAGCAGGUACAGCAGCACAGGGAGUCCUUAAACUUCUGCAGGGGUGAAUCAGAGAAGAGAUCAGCUUGUACAGGCACUAUUUCUUAACCCCCAGCCCGGCAUUUUUACAUCUGGACAUUGUUGGAGCCAAGAUACAUGAAAACAUCUGAGCUAAAAAGAUUUGAUCCAGUAACAUACUCACAUGUGCUAUUAAUCCUGUUUUCCAAUCCCACAUACCAGCUUCAUAACUGCACAUUUAAGCCUCAGUAUCUCUCUGAAAACAUAGUUCGUGAAACAAAAAUACACUUCUUUAAACUAUUUUAACUUCUGUUGGACCACACGAAAUCUGAGUUCAUUCACCAUGAUCUCAGAGUAAAUUUUUCUUAUUGUUAUUGUUGAAAUACUGUUAAUUUUGUUAAAAUAUUGUAGAUAAUUGUAAAAUAUUGUUAAAA